UUCCGGUUGAUCCUGCCGGAGAUCACUGCUAUUGGGAUUCGACUAAGCCAUGCGAGUCGAGAGGGUUCGGCCCUCGGCUGACGGCUCAGUAACACGUGGAUAAUCUGCCUUUAGGUGGAGGAUAAUCUCGGGAAACUGAGGAUAAUACUCCAUAGAUCUAGGAUGCUGGAAUGCAUCUAGAUUGAAAGCUCCGGCGCCUAAGGAUGAGUCUGCGGACUAUCAGGUUGUAGUCAGGGUAAAGACCUGACUAGCCUACGACGGAUACGGGUUGUGAGAGCAAUAACCCGGAGACGAUAUCUGAGACACGAUAUCGGGCCCUACGGGGCGCAGCAGGCGCGAAAACUUCACACUGUGCGAAAGCACGAUGAGGGAAUCCCAAGUGUUUGCUCGUAAGAGUAAACUGUUUCUUUGUUUAAAACGCAGAGAGAGUAAGGGCUGGGUAAGACGGGUGCCAGCCGCCGCGGUAAUACCUGCAGCUCAAGUGGUGAUCAUUAUUAUUGGGCCUAAAACGUCCGUAGCCUGUUUAGUAAAUGCCUGGGUAAAUCGUGUAGCUUAACUAUACGACUUCCGGGUAGACUACUAAACUUGAGACCGGGAGAGGCUAGAGGUACUCCUGGGGUAGAGGUGAAAUUCUGUAAUCCUAGGGGGACCACCAGUGGCGAAGGCGUCUAGCUAGAACGGGUCUGACGGUGAGGGACGAAGCCCUGGGGCACAAACCGGAUUAGAUACCCGGGUAGUCCAGGGUGUAAACGCUGCUUGCUUGAUGUUAGUUGGGCUCCGAGCCCAAUUAGUGUCGGAGAGAAGUUGUUAAGCAAGCUGCCUGGGAAGUACGGUCGCAAGGCUGAAACUUAAAGGAAUUGGCGGGGGAGCACAGCAACGGGUGGAGCGUGCGGUUUAAUUGGAGUCAACGCCGGAAAUCUC
rnacentral:rRNA from 1 species